GCUCUGCACGCCCCGUCCACACGCACGCAGGGAGCAAACGCUGCCAGGCUCUGCUGUCCUGACCUCACUGUCACCCGGCACUGUCACCGUCCCUCCCAGCUGCUGCAGCCUCCUCUGGAGACAUGUGAAAGGAGCAUGAACAGCUAUCGCCGGCGCUGGGCUUGCCGGCUCUUUCCUGGAAGCCUGGAGAACAGCUGAACCUGCCAGAUCCAGACACAAGUCCCGAGGAGUGAUGUGACAUCCCAGUUUUGGUAUCUCCAGAGCCAGGAUGCUCCAGCUGUUCCUGCCAGGGAAUAAGCAGGAAGAUGGGUUGCACUGCACGUGUCCUGCUCGUGAGCUUGAAGGCAGGGACUCAGUGCCUGCCCCAAGGAGACUAAAUUAUUCUGCCCCUCAAAAUGCAGAUGGGCACUGCCAGGUUAUCCUGCACAAGUGGAAAAUAAGGCUUCUUAUUCUCUAAUAUAAAUUUAUUUGGAAGAAACAUGUCCCUUCAUCCAAGGUGUGAUCCAUGCGAGCAUCCCACCAUGAUACUAAUAGAAGACUCUAGCAUGCCCGGGGUAGAAAUUUGAGGUUUUGACUUGUGUUUGUUUUUUUCUUUUCCCACUCACUGAUUUUCUUGGAAAUCUGCCUAAUUAGCAAGGGAUUUCUAACAGGAACAGCAGGACAUUGCUGAAGCUGUGAUUUGCACUUGAGCAGAUGAAGUCCCUCAACCCCUGGCACUGCUUCAUCCCAGCAACACUUCAUUGGGGAUGGAUCAGCUCCUGCAAAAACAACAAUCCCUUUGUGAAAAAAGAAAAAUUAUAAAGGAGAAAAUAAAUACAUUAAAAAGCUGCUA